rnacentral:lncRNA from 1 species
UCACAGAUAGGAUAUUGAUGUGGGUGAACAAAAUAGCACUCACAUAAUUAAACUGAAACAUUAGAAGAAGAGGAAGAAUGAGAAGCUAAAAAACCUUUAGCUUGGUGGACGUUAGUUUUUCAAAAAUUAAUCGGGUGGAAAAACUAUAUAAUUUGAAAAUAUUAGUAGCUUAUACUAUUAUUAUAAUGGGUUUUUACCUUGGGGUGGCGUUGGCGCCCUUCUAUCUCUAUCUCUCUCCCCUCAAUUCCUAAUUGUAGCCUUGUUGGUUUUAUUUUUCCCGUGACGCUUCAAUGGGUUUCGGUCCUGAUUAGCCAUUGUUGGUUGGGUUUUUGAUGUUGCUUUUCUGGUUCUCGAUUGUGGUUACUGAUAUUUAUUUUUUCCUUUUAUCUUCCGUGAUGAAUUUAUUUAUAUUGAGAAGACAGUUUAAUGCUAGAGAAGAUGCAGCAUAUUCUCAAUGAAGCCUGUGAGUUGACACGAUCUAGAAUCCUAAGCAAUGAGAGGGAAGAGCUUGAUAGUGUGAGCAAUUAUGCGCGGUCUUUGAUAGAAUACAACGAGCUGGUUAAGGAGAAGAGCAUCCGAUCUCUUCAAGCAUUGGUGGGAUCGUGUGUUAGCCGGGAACUUAAUGGUGCAGAAAAUAAAUGCUUCUUCAUGGAUUCAUGGAUGCCAAUUCCGCGUGCCACACGUAACUCUGAAUUAGUCACGAGUGUCAGGCUGGUUGUGGUCUGCUUCACCUGGCCAUGGAAGCUAGAACUUGUCUGGAAUUCCUAAGCGCCUCAGUUGUGAGUUCAUGACCUCCUCCACAAACUGACAUGGGCGAUUCGUAUGAAGUUCAGAGACAUAUGACUGUGGGACAAAUCAGGAAAGGAGGUGGUAAUUUACCAUAGUCCGUAGCAUGUCAAAUAGAUGUUGUGCUGUUUCAAUUUUUUUUCUGGUUUCAUGUGUUUUGUUGAUUCCUACUACUUGAGUUCGAAUCCAAGCCGUUUGCAUGGUAAGGUUGCGAGCCCGCAUUUCUGGCAUUCCAAUUCCGUGGCUUCCUACUUUCUGGGGAGGAAUGCUGGGACCAUCUUGUACAUGACUUUUGGGCGUGAGAUGGUUUUGGGUCAGGAUCACGGACUAGUGCUAUGAUUGAAGACCAUGUUUUUCCGUCCUUGAUACGGAUAAGCCAAGGGUUCCCAGAGGGUUUCUCUUCUUGGCGCCUCUGGCGAUGGUAAGGCAGAACUUGCCAAAGCAUCGCCGUGCAUCUAUAUGAUAGUGGACGGCUAAUAAGGGUGGACCUGUCAGAAUUACAGAAUCUGCCUUGGGGAGACUGUCGACGCUGUGAGUCUAUGCCGUACAGUGUUGUUAUUCUCUUUCGGAAAAAUGAGAAGGCCCCCUCUCGAUUUGGACAUCAUCAUUCAUAUUCUAAUCAGGUUAGACUAAUUGAGGGCAAGGAGUAGCAUCGACUUCACUAAUACCAUGUUAUUAGACUUCAAAUGUGGGAGCAGAACGCCAAUUUGUUGGGACAUGCUUCUUGCAUGAUCCGCGGAAGUUUUUUGGAAAACAUGAUUGUUACCUGAGGGUUGGGUAGCGGCCCUGAGCGAGAAUGAAGAGGUUAUUAUAGGAUUUUUAUAGGUUAGAAAUCUCAUUUGUGUUUGAUGUGGGAUAUGCGAGGGUUUCUUUUCAAGUAGAGACAAUCAAUAUUUUUGUCCAUAUGCUUUGCAGGCAAAAAAGUUCCUCAAACCUGAGUUGCUGAAACUUCUGGAUAAUAUAUAUGUGUUUGAGAAGAGGGUUUCAAAUAACCGUAUUGCUAGGCUUAAAUUGAGGGACAUGGCUAGAUCAAUAACUGAACGAAAGGUUGUGGUAUACCCUUCUGAGGAAGCGUUAAAUGUAUUGUCUCUCGAGCUGCCUGUGAGUAUCCUUUAUCAUCUUUUCAGUUGUUUAUUUUGAGUUGGAUUUUGUAUAAAUACGUUUCAUGUUGGUUUUAGUAUUUUACCCGCGCCAUGCACGGGCUUGUUUUUGUAUGUGUUUGCUUCCAUGAAGUGUUUGUUUAUGUAAUUUCUAUAUAUAUACAUGCAUUCAAACAUCUACAUACAUACCAACGAAUGUACAUGCAUGUAACGUAUGUAGAUGCAUGUAAACAUCCACAAAUAUAUGUCGACUACUGACUACACAUGGCUAACCAUAUUUUCGGCACUCAAGGUAUAAUGGGUUUCUGGGUUUUGAGUUCUUAGUUCAAAUCUUAUGAACAAUCUAAGCAAUUUGAUGAAGCAGCCAAGAAAAUAAGUUUUGGACAGAUUCGCCAGAAUAAAGGUAGCACCAGUCCUUCUCAAACGCACGAAUCCCGUUGAAUUGUACAGUAGAAUUCAAAUUAUUUUCCACAAAAUAACGAGCACUUUUUAAAAGAAAUUGAUGAUCGAAUAAAAUAUUAUGAUCAGAAGAUUCCAAACAAAUGUUUGAAAUGUCUGGGUCAUCAUGCUUUACCUUUCUAGGUCUGAUACGCGUUCCAUCAAACAGUUUAAAA